rnacentral:lncRNA from 10 species
UUUGACUUUUGGGUAGAUGGAAUAUUACUACUUCUUAAUCUACAUUCCAUAAAGGACUCUGAAAUGAAACCUUUAAAUAAAGACUCUGAGAAGCUCUGCCCUGGAAAAACAUACUGUAAUUAUACUUCAGAUCUAAAGUAUCUUGGUCAUUCAGGUGUUAAGAGAAUAGAAACCAUCCCAUCUCCUAAUAGUUGAGAAGAAUUGAUCUGUUAAAUUUUAGCAUAGAAAAAAACUUUUUUUUUUUUUUUCCUUUCUGAG